GAUUGACGGCCACAUGAGCACCGAUACCAUGAAAGACAGGAGAGGCCGAUGCUGGAGUUCCCGCACGGAUUGCAAGGUCUAUCAGAGCCAGACUCAGAAGUCAGGCAGAGAAGCCACAUAGAGCAGAGGACUGAAAGGGUUUACACUUGGGUUUUGGCAUCAAUCCGGAGGUCUUGCCAGAGAGGCCAGAAGAGCCAAAGGUCUGAGCCGGGAAGCAGAGCCUGCAGGUCUGACCAGAGAUUUCAUGGCAUCAGAGUCCAGAGGCCUGUUCAACCCAUGUCUACUCACAUCAAGGCCUUUAGGGCGUCAGGACCUGGCUUGCAGCCCCAGGUGUGCGGAUGCCAGCUCCAUCCCGAGGACCCAGGCUGUUUGGACGGCUCUAUCAGGAAGGAAAGAGCGGUGUAACCGUGUCCUGGGGAACUCGGGGAGCUCAUGGACCGGACACGCCGGGAACACCCGCUGCUGCCUCUGUCCCCGUCCCCGGGAAGCCAGGAAGGGUGGCGCCUUCCCGGGGCCUCGGGCCUGUGGGCGCAGCCGGGAGCACCCUGGGGAGGAGCCAGGAGCCACAGGCCUCUCCGCUGGACCUGCCGCCAG
rnacentral:lncRNA from 12 species